rnacentral:rRNA from 1 species
AUGAACGCUGGCGGCGUGCCUAAUACAUGCAAGUCGAGCGAACGGACGAGAAGCUUGCUUUUCUGAUGUUAGCGGCGGACGGGUGAGUAACACGUGGAUAACCUACCUAUAAGACUGGGAUAACUUCGGGAAACCGGAGCUAAUACCGGAUAAUAUUUUGAACCGCAUGGUUCAAAAGUGAAAGACGGUCUUGCUGUCACUUAUAGAUGGAUCCGCGCUGCAUUAGCUAGUUGGUAAGGUAACGGCUUACCAAGGCAACGAUGCAUAGCCGACCUGAGAGGGUGAUCGGCCACACUGGAACUGAGACACGGUCCAGACUCCUACGGGAGGCAGCAGUAGGGAAUCUUCCGCAAUGGGCGAAAGCCUGACGGAGCAACGCCGCGUGAGUGACGAAGGUCUUCGGAUCGUAAAACUCUGUUAUUAGGGAAGAACAUAUGUGUAAGUAACUGUGCACAUCUUGACGGUACCUAAUCAGAAAGCCACGGCUAACUACGUG